rnacentral:tmRNA from 2 species
CCUCUUGCGAAGCCGCCGUUGAGGCCCUAUCUGUAGGCUGUCUUUCGGGACUAUGGAUAUAAACGCGCUCGUAAUAAGCGGAUCGGACCAGGGGGCGGUACCCUGCGUCUCCACCAAUCACUCCUGUAUCAACUCUCAUUUGGGGUAUGAUUUAGGGCACAUGGGGACGAAAUAGGAUCGACGAACGUCUAAAGGGGUUUGCUUUAUCUCGGUGAGUUACCACCGUUAUCGGUACGAUAAAGCUAGUUGCAAAUGACAACAAAGCACCGAUGGCUCUCGCAGCGUAAGCUGUGCGAAAUAUCGAAAACUUAAGUCCAUAGGCUUGCAGUCUAUGGCGGGGUCCGCAGGUACCUGGCAACAGAAACCUGCACC